rnacentral:lncRNA from 10 species
AACACCAUGAUUUUAUCUGACCUGUGUCUCACAUCAGGCUCAGCUGCAGCCUAAUUUGGUCCUGGUCAUUUUUAAGAAAAUGAACUGACUUAUAAAUUCCUUCCCAUCCUUGCCACAACGUUAUAGGCUCCACGUCCCUGAGCUGAGGUACUUCAGAGCUGGAGAGGAAGCAAUAGGAGUUCUUACCUGUGCUUUUAUCUUCAGUCCAGGUUAUGUCUUGUAUUACGGAAAUCAUUCAAUUUUUCACCAGAGAAUAAGGAUGACUACAAUUCAAAAGGCUGACCUAUCCAGGUGAAGAUGAGAGUGUGCAGCAUUGGAAAUUCUUACACAUUGCUGGAGAUUUAGAAGCUAAAGAAAGAGGACAAAUGAUUUGGAAGCAAAGAUAAGAAGGAAGAAGGGUGAUCCGCCCACUUCGGCCUCCCAGUGUGCUGAGAUUACAGGUGUGAGCCACUGCGCCCAGCUCUUCUAGCCUGUUUUAACAGAUAUCUGCAAGAGGCUUGGAUCAUGCUGACCUAACCCAGGAAAUUUUAAAUUUACUCCAGACAGGAACCAGAAUCAACAUAACCUACGAGACUUUGAUUAGAAUCUAACAGGUACCUGAGUGCCUUUUGUAAGUAAAUGGCUCUAGUUGCUCAAUUGGCCACUGCUCUGCCACCAGGAUCCCUAGAAGAGACCAGAUAAACCUGAAGCACGUAGCUAAUCACUUCCAUGCCGUGAUGGAAUGCAGUGCUGUCUGCCAACAAGUUUGAGCCAGUCUUUCAAGAUGCAUCCUGAGUGGCUAACUGGGCCUGCAUUUCAAGUUGAGCCAAGGGACCAUUUGCUAACGAGGGGACACACACAUGUUCUGAGUUCACCCAAAACACAUACCUUAUUAUUUUGGGGCUUUUCAGCCCACCUGCCUCUGCUAAUCAGGGCUCAGCUGUAUUGACCCAUUAGAACUCAGCUGGGUUGACCAAUCAGAACUAAGUGAGUUUGGAGUUUUAAUUCUCAAUUGAAUGAACAGACCUGAUUGGGAACCUGCGUGGGAACUUUGGCUAUUAAACCUGAGCAUUCUUUCUGUUCUCUGGAAGAAAUAAUGUUUAAGUUGCUAACACUUUAUGCAUUUUCCUAAAAUUGAAUCAAACAACUCCUUUUGAAACAUAACCCUGAUAUCAGGGAAGUCGUACAACACCGUGCUAAAUAAUUUUAUACCUCUAACCAAGGUCUGUGCCCUAAUCAGCAGGAAGUGCCAGAGUGUCUGUCACCCAUUCUCCCUCAAGAUUGAGAAAUGAACAAUGAAAAAAGGGGGAUUUGAAAAUGCAGAACCAGCCCAAUGUGGUUCAAGUUUGUGUAAUAAAAUAAUGCGUUGUUUUACUGUUGAAGCAUACAUCACAAUGAAACAUCUAUUCAAGGAGAGCUCCUAUAACUCCGGCUCAUAACAUAUAGAAACGUGAUAUACUUAAGAACAGGACAAGAGAGGACAGUAGGAGCGAAGCUGCAUUGGAAUAAAGAAAUGACAGCAGAUGUUAACUUGAACCCCCAGGAAUACAUUAAGAGAACCUGAAACUGGGAGCCCAGGCAGAGGAGGUGCCAAGAGCAAGCGAGGGCUCUGAGGACUGCCAGCACGCUGUCACCUGUCAUUAUCAACAACUUGACUAAAAUACCUCUGUGUUUGGCAGAAGAGGAAGCCAGAGAAAUUAGAAACAAGAGAAACAUUUGAUGCAUUAUUGCUGACUUGAAGAUGGAGAGAGGUUCCC